rnacentral:misc_RNA from 1 species
CUCAUUUCUCACCUAAAUUAAUUAAUUAAUUAAUAUCCAAACCUUAUCAACCCAACACCCACACCCCCUCAAUUAUGACUCCUCUCUCUUAAGGCAUUGCAUAUUUGAAGCUUUGCAUUCUAUCUUCCUAAAUCUUUCUCUUCUGUAACUUUGAUCUUUCUUUCUGUGCAACUGCAGCCAUGGCUCUUUUACCUAGAACCGCUUCACGUUUAGCCCCACUCUCCGUCCAUAAUUCAUCUCUUAUACACACAACAGUUCCAACCCUUUACUCAUCAUCAUCCAAGUCAACUUCUCCAGUUACAUACGCUGGAUCAAGGAAACCGGCGACGCCAACGACUGGGUUGUCGAAGGUGGCAGAGUAUGCCAUAACAAAGGUGGAUGAUCUGGUGAAUUGGGCAAGGAGAGGUUCCAUCUGGCCCAUGACUUUUGGGCUAGCAUGUUGUGCAGUUGAGAUGAUGCAUCUUGCAGCUGCUAGAUAUGAUAUGGAUAGGUUUGGACUCAUUUUCAGACCCAGCCCAAGACAAUCUGAUGUUAUGGUUGUGGCUGGAACUCUAACUAAUAAGAUGGCUCCUGCUUUAAGGAGGGUUUAUGAUCAAAUGCCGGAGCCAAGGUGGGUGAUCUCUAUGGGCAGCUGUGCCAAUGGAGGUGGCUAUUACCAUUACUCAUACUCUGUGGUU